rnacentral:rRNA from 1 species
UACGGGGGGGAGCAAGCGUUGUCCGGAUUUAUUGGGCGUAAAGAGCGUGUAGGCGGCCAGACAGGUCCGUUGUGAAAACUCGAGGCUCAACCUCGAGACGCCGAUGGAAACCGUCUGGCUAGAGUCCGGAAGAGGAGAGUGGAAUUCCUGGUGUAGCGGUGAAAUGCGCAGAUAUCAGGAAGAACACCCGUGGCGAAGGCGGUUCUCUGGGACGGUACUGACGCUGAGACGCGAAAGCGUGGGGAGCGAACAGG